rnacentral:rRNA from 1 species
GUACUGCAGAAAAAGCGCGGCUAACUACGUGCCAGCAGCCGCGGUAAUACGUAGGGCGCAGCGUCAUCAGAAAUUAUUGGGCGUAAAGAGCUCGUAGGCGGUUUGUCGCGUCUGCUGUGAAAUCCCGAGGCUCAACCUCGGGCUGCAGUGGGUACGGGCAGACUAGAGUGCGGUAGGGGAGAUUGGAAUUCCUGGUGUAGCGGUGGAAUGCGCAGAUAUCAGGAGGAACACCGAUGGCGAAGGCAGAUCUCUGGGCCGUAACUGACGCUGAGGAGCGAAAGGGUGGGGAGCAAACAGGCUUAGAUACCCUGGUAGUCCACCCCGUAAACGUUGGGAACUAGUUGUGGGGUCCUUUCCACGGAUUCCGUGACGCAGCUAACGCAUUAAGUUCCCCGCCUGGGGAGUACGGCCGCAAGGCUAAAACUCAAAGGAAUUGACGGGGACCCGCACAAGCGGCGGAGCAUGCGGAUUAAUUCGAUGCAACGCGAAGAACCUUACCAAGGCUUGACAUACACGAGAACACCCUAGAAAUAGGGGACUCUUUGGACACUCGUGAACAGGUGGUGCAUGGUUGUCGUCAGCUCGUGUCGUGAGAUGUUGGGUUAAGUCCCGCAACGAGCGCAACCCUCGUUCUAUGUUGCCAGCACGUAAUGGUGGGAACUCAUGGGAUACUGCCGGGGUCAACUCGGAGGAAGGUGGGGAUGACGUCAAAUCAUCAUGCCCCUUAUGUCUUGGGCUUCACGCAUGCUACAAUGGCCGGUACAAAGGGCUGCAAUACCGCGAGGUGGAGCGAAUCCCAAAAAGCCGGUCCCAGUUCGGAUUGAGGUCUGCAACUCGACCUCAUGAAGUCGGAGUCGCUAGUAAUCGCAGAUCAGCAACGCUGCGGUGAAUACGUUCCCGGGUCUUGUACACACCGCCCGUCAAGUCAUGAAAGUCGGUAACACCUGAAGCCGGUGGCCCAACCCUUGUGGGAGCAGCCGUCGAAUAGGGAUCCACCCCC